rnacentral:lncRNA from 1 species
AAAACACCUAAGUAAAACCAUUCUUGAAAGGACACAUGAACAAAUUGAACCAGUCAGAGGGGAAAGAUCAGGAUGAUGAAGUGACUCAGAAAUCAGAUUCCAUUAUGACAUUAGACUCUGGUCACAAUUAUCUGAAGCCUUGCAGGAUGCACCAUUCCACUUCAUCCUGUCUUCAUCACAAGAAGAAAA